UACGAAGGGUGCAAGCGUUACUCGGAAUUACUGGGCGUAAAGCGUGCGUAGGUGGUUUUUUAAGUCCGUUGUGAAAGCCCUGGGCUCAACCUGGGAAUGGCAGUGGAUACUGGAAAGCUAGAGUGCGGUAGAGGGUAGUGGAAUUCCCGGUGUAGCAGUGAAAUGCGUAGAGAUCGGGAGGAACACCAGUGGCGAAGGCGGCUACCUGGACCAGCACUGACACUGAGGCACGAAAGCGUGGGGAGCAACAGG
rnacentral:rRNA from 1 species